rnacentral:tRNA from 2 species
GGAGGUUUGGCCGAGUGGUUAUGGCGUGUGACUCAAGUUCUCAUGGGCUUUGCCCGCGAGGGUUCGAAUCCCUCAGCCUUCA